rnacentral:rRNA from 1 species
CCCUUAGAUGUUCUGGGCCGCACGCGUGCUACACUGAGUGGAUCAGCGGGUCAGGUUGCGCGAAAGUGUUUCCUAAUCUUUAAAUCCGCUCGUGAUGGGGAUUGACGGUUGCAAUUUUCCGUCAUGAACGAGGAAUACCUUGUAAGCGCGGGUCAUCAUCCCGCGCUGAAUACGUCCCCGCCCUUUGUACACACCGCCCGUCGCUCCUACCGAUUGAGUGGUCCGGUGAGGCUUUGGGAUCUGGGCGGAAAGAGCGUUUCGCUGUUUCUGCCCGGAAAACUCAGUCGAACCUUAUCAUUUAGAGGAAGGAGAAGUCGUAACA